UUCAAAUUUUUUGAGAUGCAGUGAGCAAAUAAAUCUAUAUUCUAUUCGAGAGAUGUAUCACUGCUUUAUUGUUAUUAUAAAAAGUAUCAUACGUUCGGUUUUCAACUUUCUAAAAAUAUGUACGGCCAGCCAAUAACUUGCAACCCUUACAUUUGGCCCGCGAGUGACGAAAGGUUGCCGACCUCUGCUCUAAAGCUUAUCUCCCCCUGCCCUUCUCAUUCCUUAUCACCCGCUACUCUUCUAGAAUAAUAGCUACUGGAGGCCUGCCUCCAAAUACUCUCAGCUGUUGUGGCCUCUGCUAUUUUGAAAAAAUCUUACUUUUGCUUUUAAAGAUUGCGGUCAAAUUACAGACAAUUCAUGCAGGGUGCUCGGACACUCGCUACUUUGUCUGUAGAAGUAUUUGACCUAUGACCUAUGCUAAAAAAAAAUUCAAAUAUAAUUAUUGCCUGUUCAAAAUUCUAUAUUAUCUGAUCUGUACACUGCAUCUUAAGUUUUUCACUGAACUUUUCUUUGCCCAAUAAUUUUCCUUAAAACAUUUUAAUUUUUUUUGGCAAUACUUAACCCACUUUCUUUCAGUUUUUGGUAAAAACACAUAUUGUUGAUGAGACGUUCAAUGAUUAUGUUGGCAGUUACAAAUGAAUGUAAUUUUGUUGUUUGAUUUUUUUUUGUGCAAUUCCAUUUCCUAUUUUGCAAUCUUCACAUAAAAUGCAUGUUUUAUGUUGUCAAUAGCAUUUGAGACAUUAAUUGUGAAUUUGUUUUAGGUAAAAAUGUCUAUUUUGUUUGAAUAUGUAUUUGAAACUGGGUUACUAUUUCAAUACGCGACAUGGUAUGGUAACUGGAUGAGAGGUUUGUCAUAUGAUUGAGUCAUCCUAUUGACCACCGUCAAGGAUAAAUAUGGCAGACCUAGCCUAAUACUUUUUAUCAGCACAACAUAAAUUAAAUAGAACUGAUUAUUUUGAUGUCUAGUUCCUUUGAUUAUGCUCAUAUUUGCAAGAAAAAGUUCCAAAAUAAUUCAAAUUCAUCAAUUUACCUAUGGAAUCAUUAAUUGUGAUUCUGCCUAUUUAAAAUAAUCAAUCGAUUCUCCAAAUAUUUUUGAUUACAUACAAUUAAUUUGAUUCGCAAUAACUGGGAUAUAAGGCCUCUCCAUAGUCUUAAGUGUAAAACAUUUCUCCAUUUUUAUGUUAUGUUUAUUUAUACCCUGCCUUAUUAAUAUGCUUCUCUCACUAAAAUGCUUUAUCCAUGGCCGUUGAUAGAUUGUUCAGUGCUACUUUAGCGUGAGAUCUACCUUUGCAUUUUCCAACCCUAAUAGAUUUAAUUAAACAAUAAUCUCAUGAUUUGUACUCGUCCCAGAGUUAUUCCUCAGACUCAGGAUACUUUUAUUUCAGGCCAGGAAUUUUUAAAGAAUGUGGGGGGGAAUGGAAUCUGAAAUUUGCAAGUUAGAAUGUAACAGCUAGCAUGUUAGUGGUUUGUGAGAAAUUGUGGGUUUUAAGUCUUUAGGGUCUGAAAAACCUUUCAAGAUACAAAAAAAAGUUGGACCUCCUGAAGUAUGCGCACCAAGAUGACGCACAACUUGAACUCAGGUCGUGUACAAGGUUAGGGUUCAGGCUAUGCGACAUCUUGGUGCGCAUACUUCAGGAGUACCAAAAAAUUCUUAUAUGGUUCAGGAAAUUGCUUUUUUACAUUUCAAAGGGGGGGUGGGGUACCAAAUCUCACCCCCUACCUGCUGUGCCCAUGCUCAGGACUAUACCUGAGUGGUAAGGUGGUAGACCUCAUGCUAACGCAGCACCAGUUUUUCUUUACCAGGCCUCGCUAUGAACUGAAGGUCUGGGCUGUUACGAUAAGAGUACAAUAGGUUAGGGUUGCCAUACUGUCCGGAAAAUUCCGAACAUGUCCGAAAUUUAGGGUUAAAUUUUGCGUCCGAGAAGAAUUUAAAAAAUGCUUAAAUGUCCGGAAUCCGGAAUUUUACUGCAUCUGCAAUCGUACUGUGCACACUGCUAGUAAAGAACAUUGUUAUUUCGUACCGUGCGCAUAUUUUUUACUACGAGGUCAGGAUAAGGUCAUGAACUGUCCGGAAUUUUGCUUUUUCAAAUAUGGUGACCCUACAAUAGGUAUGAUACAGAUUGGGGGAUUGGGUUAACACGACUUGAUUGACAUAAUUUUUGAAUAUACAGAGUGUCCAAAACAUUUCUUCUCUGUUUAUUAAUAGUUCUUAAUGUGCUUGUAGUUUUCAUUUAUCAUACAAUGAAAUUUAGUUUAACUUACAAUUGUUAUUACUAUGAAACCGGACAAAUUUUUUUGGACACCCUGUAUAUUUAGAUGCCUCCACACGGAAGCAAUUAUCUCUCCUCUUAGCUAUGGUACUGUCAAGAGAAAACUGGAAUUUACUUUUUGUAAUUUUUUUGAUAUUGUGUUAAAAUAAAAACAGCGUCCAUAUCAGCUCUUAGUGAGGCUUGAUAUAUUAUUCUUUACAUUCUAUUUAACAGAUAGAGAUUUAACCAUGCUUAUCAAAGGCCGACAUUUUAAAGUAGUUUGAAUAACUAUGGUUCACUAGAUUUCAAUAUAUGCUAAUUGAGACGCUUCAUUUCUACUUAAACUUCAUCCUGGAAGGCUUCUGAUCUGGGAUGGCCCAAACUGAUUAAUUUACACUUCUGAAUACAUUCUGAAAUAUUACUUUUUUACGAGGAAUGUCAAAUAUAUUUAAAAUGGGUCAAUUUUAACAGAGAACAUGCUUCAACCAUUGUAUAUAUUGUCAAUUUGAUAAUGUAUAAAAGUUGAGAUAAACAUCAUUUCGUACUCCCAUAGUGUUUCGGGGACUGUCUGUGGUAACCAAGUUAAUAUACCCCCUGCCCAUAGGUUUUGGUUUAGACGAACAAAAUUAUUUACCUCAAUAUUGGUACACAUACUUGUGGAGCGCCCAUCAGUUUGAUUGUUUUUCUAUCUUUACAUAGCAUGUUGAAUGAAGAUUACUAUUGGCCCAAAUGACUAUAUUUAGAACAAAAUCUAAAUUAAGUACUAAUUAUUUUUAACGUGUUUUUUUUUUAAAAGAGCCACCGCUAAUGUGGCAAUCGCAAUCUGCAGUACUUAAAAUAUGGCGGGUGUUUUUUUUCUCAAAUAUGACAUUUUUUCAUUAGUGGCUUUCUACAAAAUACCCUAGAACAGUGGUUCCCAAAUCGCGGGCCAAUCACAGCGUAACAAUUUAAUAUGGGCCACCGAACUUGAGUGAAAAAGUAUAACACUUUAUGUUUUUACCUUUUUGCGUUCUAGAUACCACCAACUAUUACGUCAUUAUCACAAUUUAAGCAUGUGUAUAUUGGUAACAAUUCAAUCGCUCCACUCUCCUGGUCUACGAAUAUCAAUCAACUUUGGGAACUACUUUUCUAGAAUAUAAAAUAUUUUUGGAAUGUAUUCAAAUAUUCAAUCUGUUUUGGACAUCACUGAUUCAGCUUGCUCACUUUAUCCCAAGUUAUUCAUGCUUAUUGAACUAUCAUACUCCUUCAUUUAGUAGCUGCCUAUACAUUAUACUGAAGUUCUUUGAUGAGUUGGUCGAAUUUAUGUCACCUGAUUUCACUUUUUCCUUUAAAUCAUGCAUGUUCACAGCAUUUAUUGAUUAAUAAAAUGCAAAUAAAUAUUUAUUGGAAUAUAAAAUGUCUUUUCAUUUGUAAGUUGCUGAAAAAUUUUAAAAUCGUGCUAUAGUAAAAUUAAGUGUCAAGGGCGAUGGAAUAGAAACUAAACUUGUAUUACCAAGAUACUAAGCAAUUAUUUUAGAAAGCAGGGGUUCUGAGUUUAUUGCAGGAAAAAAAAUUUUUUUUGUAUUUUCUCCUUACAAGCGUUUCACUUGCAAUAGUGAAUAUGAAGUCUCCUAAUACGAACCAAUAUCGGACAGAAAAUUUUAGAUUGUUUCAGCAUGCGAUAAUGCAAGGUUGUCGAACUUAAAGGGUGAAUACCUUGGGUACCCAUAUGCUAUUGUUUUAGGAAGACUGUAAAAUCAGGGGUUCUAAGUUAACUAUGGGAAAACACUUUUUGUGUUUCUAUUUUGCAAGAAUGUCCAAACAUAAUAUCGGGCUUCUCAAAGAUAUCUAUCAACAGCGAAUGAUAGAUGGGUAUAAUAUCCGAUUCUCAAAAUGACACAUAAUUUCCCCCUUGGGUACUUUAAUUAAUUAAUUAAUUUUUCAAGCAAGAAAGUGCACAAUCACAUGUUUUCAUAUUUCACUUGCAGCACAUUGCAAAACAUAGUUGAAAAGAUAAUUGUAUUUUUGGAAUUUGGUGAGUAAUAAGAAAUAAAAUAUCUUAAUCCCCUUCAAAAACGUAACAUUUUGAAAUAGUAUGGCUCUAUGGGAAUUUAGGAAUGCGUGGGCUCUAACAGAGAUAAUAAUAUACAAAUGUAAAAAAUGAAAAAUUACUAAAAUAAUUAAACGUUCACAUCCUGGGGGAGUCAUACACUUUACUUUUAUCAGUCCAUGUGUUUAAAGAAUGAUUCCUGUACAUUCCACAGACUCCUAAAUGUUGGGAAAAUCUUUGUGAUUUUCCGUGAAAAGUUGUUGGUGCUGAUUCAUGUGUUGCGGGGAGAAUUCCGUAAAUACUUGAAGAGGUUUUGUACAAAGGAUGUUGUGGUUGAUAACUUCCAUCCCAAGCCAUUUCAUCUCUUUCUACUUCCACUCGA